UACAGAGGUCUCAAGCGUUGUUCGGAUUCAUUGGGCGUAAAGGGUGCGCAGGCGCCGGGUGUGUGAGGCGUGAAAGCCCGAUGCUUAACAUCGGAAUUGCACCUCAAACUACACGGCUAGAGCAUUGGAGAGGGUAGCGGAAUUCACGGUGUAGCAGUGAAAUGCGUAGAUAUCGUGAGGAACACCAGAGGCGAAGGCGGCUACCUGGACAAUUGCUGACGCUCAGGCACGAAAGCGUGGGGAGCAAAAGGG
rnacentral:rRNA from 1 species